AUUUACAAAAUGCCCUUCCUUUGUGUAGGAGGCUAAAAGGAAAAAAAAAAAAAAGAAAUCAGUAGCUUUUAAAGCUAGGCCUUGCUGCGAGUGAGAAGAUAAUGAAAGCCGUCUGUGUUGUGGGGCAGAGAAGCAUUUCAGAGACAGGCCUGACUCGCGGGGUUACGCUGCUGAAAAAGACAUUGACGUGCCUGUUUGUUUUGCAACGAGAGAACACGCAUGAGACUGGCUUACACGCAGCACGGUCUGGAGUAGAAGAAGAAGACGAACAAGAAGGAGAAGAAGGAGAAGAAGAAGGAUGAUAUGCUUAGUGCUCUGCACCAGGAUGGAUCUAGAUGCUGAUGAUGUUAAUGCUGGAAGUUUGCUGCAUCAUGUGAGCUCUCAGGUCGACUCUGUCAUCUUAUGAUGGAUGAAGAGGAUGAGGAGGAUGAGAAGAGAGAGGGAGAGAGAUCUUUUGUGUUUUCUUCACUGUGCUUAAGUGGAUUCCUCUCUAAAAGGUGCGGAAAGAUAACCAUCAAUCAGUUGUCAAUUGGUCAAUUGCAGAAGUGAUGAAAAGGAAAGGAUGGAACAAUCCUCUCUCUCUCUGCGGUUACCUAGAGGAGGAAGGGAAUGAGGGAAAACACGGAGGCUGGAAUGGGAACAAUGGAGGGGAUCCAGAGCACAGAUGCGCGCAGAGAGAGAAUGAGAAUAGAGAAAGAGAGAGAAGCGGAGACAGCGGCUAGUGGAGCGCUGCUUGGGCGGGAAAGGAGCACCGAAGAGCGGCUACAGCUCUCAGGAUUCCCCGCGGUACCGGUGGAGGAUGUUUAACCGAGUCGGAGCUCCGUGCUGACGGCCUAAGAGUCACAUUGCAGCUCUUAAAAGUUUUUGCGAAGAAUAGAAAAUAUUGAAGACGCGCGAGAACAGGUCACGCUGAAGUCUCGAUAAGACCCGGAUGCAGAAACGGUGCUGCAGCUGAUUUACCUGCAACAGGUGGUCCUUCUCAUCAAGAGUUCACAGGUUCUUCUCAGCUUUGUGCAUCCUGGCGAUUCAGCACUGAUCUUCUUCUUCUAUAAACAUGUUAAUAACGUGAUCCAUUUUGUGAUUGGAUGAUCAAGUGGCCUGCCCUUGUUGACAUAUGGACAUUUUGUCAAUCGACAAAUGUUAAUGUGUGCGCUGCUGUAUCUGUGUGCAGAUUAUAUAUUUAUGUAUUUAAAUUUUGAAAUGGUUAUGGUUAUUGAAAGGGGCAGGGCUAUAAUAAGGGGUGUGGCUAAUUAAUAUGAACUCCAUAUGAACUCCUGUGCUUGUAUAACCGGAGUUAGCCACUAACGUGUUCAUACUGAUAUUACAGCAGGAUAAUAGCAGUGUGUGUGGGAGUGUUUACCUGACGCUUAGCUCACCUUUUGGCCAUUAGCACACACCUCACAAUCGCAACACACUGACUCCAGGGUGAAGGUGAAAGUGACUGAGCUGCUAAGUAAAUAUGACUUUAAAGCUACACAAGCUCGCAGCUCUGUCUCAGAUAUAAUGAGCAGUAAAGGACAAAAAGAUCCUUAUUUCACUUAUUUCCAAAUGACUAUAUAUAUUUUCACCACUGUUUUUUUAAAAAAUGCAAACCUUUUGGUAAAAAAUGCCCAGCAAGUCUGAAAUAAAUAAAGUGACUGAUCUUCUGAGCUAUCUAUGUGUCUAAUGUGAGCUAAGUGGAACACAACAAUAGAGAUUUUAUUUCACAUUAAUGAACUCAAAACAUUGUCCAAUUACAAGGACAGAACAAUAAAAGAAUUUUUGAAGAGAUAUACUCCUCGUACACCACAGCAAAUAGACAACUACACAUAUUAUUUAUUAAAAAAAUGACACGCCAUAAUUUUCAGCCAUUUACACUCUAGUUACAUUUAGUUACCUGGAAUGUCUAUGAAAAAAGUUAUAAAGCAGCUAUAAACACUUGUUCUGUCACCACCCUAUUCUUUCUCUCUCUAAUUAAAUAAGCCGAAAAAAAAAAAAAAAACUUGUUUUGUUACCCAGAAACUACAAAAAGUGUAAACACCUCUGUCCUGAAAUCAUCCAUAAACUUAAAGUUACAGCUGUAGCUCUGUUACAAAGUGCUGACACUGGAGACUCCUUCCAUAUAUUUUAAAUAAACAUUUUCUUAUAAGAAGCAAACUUUACCAAAUCACUGAUUCUUUAUGAUCCUCUUUGUGUCGAGUUUCCAUCGUACAAGUUCCUGUGAAUAAGGUGUUUCUACAGAAACAAUAACGUGUCAGAACGAGUGCGUUAAUUAUAAACUGCCAGAGCUGCAAUGGAGAUAUAAAUGAUAGAAAAUAAACACCUGACUAGUCAGAAUAGUGUAAUCAAUAGCACAAAGUUAUAAUCAAUUUGAUCUGUUUUACACUUUCUGUUACAUCAUGAUGUAUUUUAUACUGUAUAACAUUUUGCACAUGGAUAUUUCUGCAUUAAAAAACUCUAAAUCUGUACAUUAAAGUGUCCGGAUAUAUUUCUUUAAACAUAUUUC